GACAGCAGCAGGACAGGAAUGACUGACCAGCCUCGGAUCCGCUGGAAGGGAGCUGCAUCCUACGGCUCACCGGCCACAUACACCCCAGUGUUCCCUCUCAUUUUUUACGUCCAUGUGCAGAAUGAAUUUUGUUAUGUGCACCAAUAUGGAGAUGAUGUGUGACACAACAAAAUUCAUGUGGUGAAGGUGGGGCCGAGCGGUUCAGAGCGUGGGAGGGUGCCAGGGCUGGGGCAGAGGGUUGGAGUGCAGGGGUGUGUGGGCUCUGGGGUGGGGCCAGAGAUGAGGGGGUUUGGGUGCAGGCUGCCCCGGGGCUGCGGUGUGGAGAGAGGACUCCCCUCAGCCUUCUCUCACUGCAGCAGCUCGGGGACAGGGGAGAAGCACCUCUCCCUGGCCAUGGCAGCUCUGGUGGGACUGGGCUGGGGGAGGGGCUCCUCUCCUCCGGCUGUGGCAGGUCUGGAGAUGGUCCAUGCUGGGGCCGGCAAGGAGGUGUGGGGUCCCAUGGGGAGAGGCACCUCUCUCUGCCGUAGCAGGUCGGUGCGGGGUCCCGUGGGGAGAGGCGCCUCUCUCCGCCGCGGCAGGUCGGUGCGGGGUCCCGUGGGGAGAGGCGCCUCUCUCCGCCGCGGCAGGUCGGUGCGGGGUCCCGUGGGGAGAGGCGCCUCUCCCUGCCGCGGCAGGUCGGUGCGGGGUCCCGUGGGGAGAGGCGCCUCUCCCUGCCGCGGCAGGUCGGUGCGGGGUCCCGUGGGGAGAGGCGCCUCUCCCUGCCGCGGCAGGUCGGUGCGGGGUCCCGUGGGGAGAGGCGCCUCUCCCAGCCGUGGCAGGUCGGUGCGGGGUCCCGUGGGGAGAGGCGCCUCUCCCAGCCGUGGCAGGUCGGUGCGGGGUCCCGUGGGGAGAGGCGCCUCUCUCCGCCACAGCAGGUCGGUGCGGGGUCCCGUGGGGAGAGGCGCCUCUCCCUGCCACAGCCCUAAGCCCCUGCACGGGGCUUAACAGACAGCUGCGCAGCCACACAGCAGCAGAGCUUAGAGGGAACUUAGACAGCUUCCCUGGUAGCAUCACCAGGGAGUGCAGCCCCCUCCAGCUACCCCUCAGCAGCCUGCUAGACCCCGACCCUCCA